CUUCACACACUCACUUCAUCCCCACUUAUGCUGCCUCAUUCUUUUUUAUUCUCCUCUCCCCUUUACCUCACCCGGUGUCGCUGUUUUCUGAAAACACGACAGACUCGCAUAAGACGAGAAAGCACCAUCUAAAGAACAAAGGUACCCAUGGUGUAACGAGUGAAUAUUCCUGAUGGAAGAAUCGAUGGAGAAGGCACAAACUGUUCUAGAAGACACAUAACCUGGCGGAAGCCAUAGGGACUAUCAGAGGGCCAAGACCAUCUUACAUGUUGACCAAGAAGCAAUUCCAUGAUUCUGCAAGGCCCACCCACUGCCAUCUGCCUUGUGUACAACAGUAGAGACAGAAAUCAGGAGGCUGGAAAGCGAAGGAAUCACCA